GAUGAACGCUGGCGGCGUGCCUAAUACAUGCAAGUCGAGCGAACAGACGAGGAGCUUGCUCCUCUGACGUUAGCGGCGGACGGGUGAGUAACACGUGGAUAACCUACCUAUAAGACUGGGAUAACUUCGGGAAACCGGAGCUAAUACCGGAUAAUAUAUUGAACCGCAUGGUUCAAUAGUUAAAGACGGUUUUGCUGUCACUUAUAGAUGGAUCCGCGCCGCAUUAGCUAGUUGGUAAGGUAACGGCUUACCAAGGCAACGAUGCGUAGCCGACCUGAGAGGGUGAUCGGCCACACUGGAACUGAGACACGGCCCAGACUCCUACGGGAGGCAGCAGUAGGGAAUCUUCCGCAAUGGGCGAAAGCUUGACGGAGCAACGCCGCGUGAGUGAUGAAGGUCUUCGGAUCGUAAAACUCUGUUAUUAGGGAAGACCAAAUGUGUAAGUAACUAUGCACGUCUUGACGGUACCUAAUCAGAAAGCCACGGCUAACUACGUG
rnacentral:rRNA from 1 species